rnacentral:rRNA from 1 species
CACGUAGGGCGCAAGCGUUGUCCGGAAUUAUUGGGCGUAAAGAGCUCGUAGGCGGCGCGGUAAGUCGGGUGUGAAAUCUCGGAGCUUAACUCCGAAACUGCAUUCGAUACUGCCGUGCUUGAGGACUGGAGAGGAGACUGGAAUUUACGGUGCAGCGGUGAAAUGCGCAGAUAUCGGGAAGAACACCCGUGGCGAAGGCGGUUCUCUGGGACGGUACUGACGCUGAGACGCGAAAGCGUGGGGAGCGAACAGG